UGGACAAAGGGGGUGCCUUACCAUGCAAGUCGAACGGCAGCGCGAGAGAGCUUGCUCUCUUGGCGGCGAGUGGCGGACGGGUGAGUAAUAUAUCGGAACGUGCCCAGUAGCGGGGGAUAACUACUCAAAAGAGUGGCUAAUACCGCAUACGCCCUACGGGGGAAAGGGGGGGAUCGCAAGACCUCUCACUAUUGAAGCGGCCGAUAUCGGAUUAGCUAGUUGGUGGGGUAAAGGCUCACCAAGGCAACGAUCCGUACCUGGUUUGAGAGGACGACCAGCCACACUGGGACUGAGACACGGCCCACACUCCUACGGGAGGCAGCAGUGGGGAAUUUUGGACAAUGGGGGAAACCCUGAUCCAGCCAUCCCGCGUGUAUGAGGAAGGCCUUCGGGUUGUAAAGUACUUUUGGCAGAGAAGAAAAGGUAUCCCCUAAUACGGGAUACUGCUGAAGGUAUCUGCAGAAUAAGCACCGCAAAAACUACGUGCCAACAACCGCAGUAAUACCAA
rnacentral:rRNA from 1 species